rnacentral:rRNA from 2 species
GGACUACCCGGGUAUCUAAUCCUGUUUGCUCCCCACGCUUUCGUGCCUCAGCGUCAGUGUUAUCCCAGGAGGCUGCCUUCGCCAUCGGUGUUCCUCCACAUCUCUACGCAUUUCACUGCUACACGUGGAAUUCCACCUCCCUCUGACACACUCUAGCCUGCCAGUAACAAGCGCAAUUCCCAGGUUAAGCCCGGGGAUUUCACACCUGUCUUAACAGACCGCCUGCGCACGCUUUACGCCCAGUAAUUCCGAUUAACGCUCGCACCCUACGUAUUACCGCGGCGGCUGGCAC